rnacentral:rRNA from 1 species
UUAUGAGAGUUUGAUCCUGGCUCAGGACGAACGCUGGCGGCGUGCCUAAUACAUGCAAGUCGAACGCUUCUUUUUCCACCGGAGCUUGCUCCACCGGAAAAAGAGGAGUGGCGAACGGGUGAGUAACACGUGGGUAACCUGCCCAUCAGAAGGGGAUAACACUUGGAAACAGGUGCUAAUACCGUAUAACAAUCGAAACCGCAUGGUUUUGAUUUGAAAGGCGCUUUCGGGUGUCGCUGAUGGAUGGACCCGCGGUGCAUUAGCUAGUUGGUGAGGUAACGGCUCACCAAGGCCACGAUGCAUAGCCGACCUGAGAGGGUGAUCGGCCACAUUGGGACUGAGACACGGCCCAAACUCCUACGGGAGGCAGCAGUAGGGAAUCUUCGGCAAUGGACGAAAGUCUGACCGAGCAACGCCGCGUGAGUGAAGAAGGUUUUCGGAUCGUAAAACUCUGUUGUUAGAGAAGAACAAGGAUGAGAGUAACUGUUCAUCCCUUGACGGUAUCUAACCAGAAAGCCACGGCUAACUACGUGCCAGCAGCCGCGGUAAUACGUAGGUGGCAAGCGUUGUCCGGAUUUAUUGGGCGUAAAGCGAGCGCAGGCGGUUUCUUAAGUCUGAUGUGAAAGCCCCGGCUCAACCGGGGAGGGUCAUUGGAAACUGGGAGACUUGAGUGCAGAAGAGGAGAGUGGAAUUCCAUGUGUAGCGGUGAAAUGCGUAGAUAUAUGGAGGAACACCAGUGGCGAAGGCGGCUCUCUGGUCUGUAACUGACGCUGAGGCUCGAAAGCGUGGGGAGCAAACAGGAUUAGAUACCCUGGUAGUCCACGCCGUAAACGAUGAGUGCUAAGUGUUGGAGGGUUUCCGCCCUUCAGUGCUGCAGCUAACGCAUUAAGCACUCCGCCUGGGGAGUACGACCGCAAGGUUGAAACUCAAAGGAAUUGACGGGGGCCCGCACAAGCGGUGGAGCAUGUGGUUUAAUUCGAAGCAACGCGAAGAACCUUACCAGGUCUUGACAUCCUUUGACCACUCUAGAGAUAGAGCUUCCCCUUCGGGGGCAAAGUGACAGGUGGUGCAUGGUUGUCGUCAGCUCGUGUCGUGAGAUGUUGGGUUAAGUCCCGCAACGAGCGCAACCCUUAUUGUUAGUUGCCAUCAUUCAGUUGGGCACUCUAGCAAGACUGCCGGUGACAAACCGGAGGAAGGUGGGGAUGACGUCAAAUCAUCAUGCCCCUUAUGACCUGGGCUACACACGUGCUACAAUGGGAAGUACAACGAGUCGCGAAGUCGCGAGGCUAAGCUAAUCUCUUAAAGCUUCUCUCAGUUCGGAUUGCAGGCUGCAACUCGCCUGCAUGAAGCCGGAAUCGCUAGUAAUCGCGGAUCAGCACGCCGCGGUGAAUACGUUCCCGGGCCUUGUACACACCGCCCGUCACACCACGAGAGUUUGUAACACCCGAAGUCGGUGAGGUAACCUUUUGGAGCCAGCCGCCUAAGGUGGGAUAGAUGAUUGGGGUGAAGUCGUAACAAGGUAGCCGUAUCGGAAGGUGCGGCUGGAUCACCUCCUUU